UUGACGGGGCCGCACAAGCAGUGGAGCAUGUGGUUUAAUUCGAAGCAACGCGAGGAACCUUACCAGGUCUUGACAUCCCCUGACAACCCGAGAGAUCGGGCGUUCCCCUUCGGGGGACAGGGUGACAGGUGGUGCAUGGUUGUCGUCAGCUCGUGUCGUGAGAUGUUGGGUUAAGUCCCGCAACGAGCGCAACCCUCGACCUUAGUUGCCAGCAUUCAGUUGGGCACUCUAAGGUGACUGCCGGCUAAAAGUCGGAGGAAGGUGGGGAUGACGUCAAAUCAUCAUGCCCCUUAUGACCUGGGCUACACACGUGCUACAAUGGGCGGUACAAAGGGUCGCGAACCCGCGAGGGGGAGCCAAUCCCAAAAAGCCGCUCUCAGUUCGGAUUGCAGGCUGCAACUCGCCUGCAUGAAGCCGGAAUCGCUAGUAAUCGCGGAUCAGCAUGCCGCGGUGAAUACGUUCCCGGGCCUU
rnacentral:rRNA from 1 species